rnacentral:rRNA from 1 species
GAGGGGCAGCGGGAUUGAAGCUUGCUCCAAUUGCCGGCGACCGGCGCACGGGUGAGUAACGCGUAUCCAACCUUCCGUACACUCAGGGAUAGCCUUUCGAAAGAAAGAUUAAUACCUGAUGGUAUCUUAAGCACACAUGUAAUUAAGAUUAAAGAUUUAUCGGUGUACGAUGGGGAUGCGUUCCAUUAGGUAGUAGGCGGGGUAACGGCCCACCUAGCCAACGAUGGAUAGGGGUUCUGAGAGGAAGGUCCCCCACAUUGGAACUGAGACACGGUCCAAACUCCUACGGGAGGCAGCAGUGAGGAAUAUUGGUCAAUGGACGAGAGUCUGAACCAGCCAAGUAGCGUGAAGGAUGAAGGUCCUACGGAUUGUAAACUUCUUUUAUAAGGGAAUAAACCCUCCCACGUGUGGGAGCUUGUAUGUACCUUAUGAAUAAGCAUCGGCUAACUCCGUGCCAGCAGCCGCGGUAAUACGGAGGAUGCGAGCGUUAUCCGGAUUUAUUGGGUUUAAAGGGAGCGCAGACGAGUCGUUAAGUCAGCUGUGAAAGUUUGGGGCUCAACCCUAAAAUUGCAGUUGAUACUGGCGUCCUUGAGUGCGGUUGAGGUGUGCGGAAUUCGUGGUGUAGCGGUGAAAUGCUUAGAUAUCACGAAGAACUCCGAUUGCGAAGGCAGCACACUAAUCCGUAACUGACGUUCAUGCUCGAAAGUGUGGGUAUCAAACAGGAUUAGAUACCCUGGUAGUCCACACGGUAAACGAUGGAUACUCGCUGUUGGCGAUAUACUGUCAGCGGCUUAGCGAAAGCGUUAAGUAUCCCACCUGGGGAGUACGCCGGCAACGGUGCAACUCAAAUGAAG